GCUGCGUCUCCAUCUCCGCGCAUUUCUUCACACCCUGCCAGACCUGAGAGGAGCUUACCCUGCACGGAUCCUGAGAAGAUGCAUAAGUUUAUCAUUGCCGUUUUUCUGCUGGCUGUCCUCGUCUCAGAGGUGAGCGCAGCGAUGAACGGAACCGCCGGUAACUCGACGCACAGCGGCGUCUCCGGGAGGAGCGACGCCGUGUCCUUCAUCAGCCUGGCGCUCCCCGUGGCCCUGGGAGCCUGCCUGCUGCACAACGGCUGGUACCAGUGACCGCUGGCGAGGGGGGGCGGCUGGGGUGUUUACCCGUCUCAAGAGGAACUCAACUACGCCAUGAAACACAACUUGGACCCCCUCUUUCCUCCUGUUGUCGGCAGGACGCGCGGUCCGGAGGACAUGCCUGCGCCUUUACGCACAAAGCGGGACGUGCAGUUUUAAUGGACUGAAGUUGGGUUGGGUUUUUUUGAGAGGGGGGGGGGGGGGCUUCGUGAAUAGUCUAUUGUGGUCAUUAACAUUUAAAAUAACAAAGUGAUCAUAAAGGAAUCUGGUGAAUGAAGUGUAACCUACUGAAAUUGUAAAUGUGGUGUUUUUUUUGUUGAAUAAAAUUGUAAAUUAA